AGUGAACGCUGGCGGUAGGCCUAACACAUGCAAGUCGAACGGCAGCACAGUAAGAGCUUGCUCUUACGGGUGGCGAGUGGCGGACGGGUGAGGAAUACAUCGGAAUCUACUUUUUCGUGGGGGAGAACGUAGGGAAACUUACGCUAAUACCGCAUACGACCUACGGGUGAAAGCAUGGGAUCUUCGGACCUUGCGCGAUUGAAUGAGCCGAUGUCGGAUUAGCUAGUUGGCGGGGUAAAGGCCCACCAAGGCGACGAUCCGUAGCUGGUCUGAGAGGAUGAUCAGCCACACUGGAACUGAGACACGGUCCAGACUCCUACGGGAGGCAGCAGUGGGGAAUAUUGGACAAUGGGCGAAAGCCUGAUCCAGCCAUACCGCGUGGGUGAAGAAGGCCUUCGGGUUGUAAAGCCCUUUUGUUGGGAAAGAAAAGCAGCAGGUUAAUACCCCGCUGUUCUGACGGUACCCAAAGAAUAAGCACCGGCUAACUUCGUG
rnacentral:rRNA from 1 species